rnacentral:rRNA from 1 species
AACGAACGCUGGCGGCAUGCCUAACACAUGCAAGUCGAACGAGACCUUCGGGUCUAGUGGCGCACGGGUGCGUAACGCGUGGGAACCUGCCCUUAGGUUCGGAAUAACUCCCCGAAAGGGGUGCUAAUACCGGAUAAUGUCUUCGGACCAAAGAUUUAUCGCCUUUGGAUGGGCCCGCGUUGGAUUAGCUAGUUGGUAGGGUAAAAGCCUACCAAGGCGACGAUCCAUAGCUGGUCUGAGAGGAUGAUCAGCCACACUGGGACUGAGACACGGCCCAGACUCCUAGGAGAGGCAGCAGUGGGGAAUAUUGGACAAUGGGCGGAGGCCUGAUCCAGCCGAACGGCGUGGGUGAAGAAGACCUUGGGGUUGUAAAGCCAUUUUGUUGGGAAAGAAAAGCAGCAGGUUAAUACCCCGCGGUUCUGACGGUACCGAAAGAAUAAGCACCGGCUAACUUCGUG